rnacentral:rRNA from 1 species
AACGAACGCUGGCGGCAGGCCUAACACAUGCAAGUCGAACGAUCUCUUCGGAGAUAGUGGCAGGACGGGUGCGUAACACGGUGGGAACGUACACUUGGGGUAGGGGAUAACGACUGGAAACGGUCGCUAAUACCUUAUAGUCCCUUCGGGGUAAAGAUUUAUCGCCCAAGGAUCGGCCCGCGCUUGAUUAGCUAGUUGGUGAGGUAAAAGCUCACCAAGGCGAUGAUCAAUAGCUGGUCUUAGAGGAUGAUCAGCCACACUGGGACUGAGACACGGCCCAG